UACGAAGGGGGUAAGCGUUGUUCGGAAUUACUGGGCGUAAAGCGCACGUAGGCGGCUUUGUAAGUUAGAGGUGAAAGCCUGGAGCUCAACUCCAGAAUUGCCUUUAAGACUGCAUCGCUUGAAUCCAGGAGAGGUGAGUGGAAUUCCGAGUGUAGAGGUGAAAUUCGUAGAUAUCGAGAGGAACACCUGCGGCGAAGGCGGGUUGCUGGGCUGACACUGACGCUGAUGCGCGAAAGCCAGGGGAGCGAACGGG
rnacentral:rRNA from 1 species